ensembl:lncRNA
AUUACUCUGCCCCUUAGAACCCUACACAAGAGGAUACCUUGAGUAGGAUUUUUAGGUGUUACAUGUGGUGGCAGGCAGACCCAGGACCCCUUAUCUCCCUUCUCCUUCUCCUUCUCUUUUCAAAACUGCCACCAGAGCCAGAAAUGCCCAGAGGAAGCUGUGGAUGGCUUGGAACCUCUGGGAAUGAGCAGCCCUCCAGCUUCUGGAAUUGUAGUCAUCAGUCACCUGAAGAAAGGCUGAGUCACUGAGUCAUCGCCAGAGAUCGCCCAGGGCAACCGGGUAUAGAGUGCCUGGUUUGGAAAGGUCAGUGCCUCCCACACCCACCGACAAGGCUUGUUCAGUUGCUUGUGGGACCUGACCCGAGAUGGAAACUGGGCCCAUGGCAGAGAAGAUCUGGAGUCCUAACCACCGGACUAGCGGGGAAUUCCUGAAAACUGCUUUUCUGAAUUUAGAGGCCGAUUCUCACUCUAGAAGAGGGAACAUUGUCGUAAAGCUCUCAG